rnacentral:rRNA from 1 species
UACGAAGGGGGCUAGCGUUGCUCGGAAUCACUGGGCGUAAAGCGCACGUAGGCGGCUUUUUAAGUCAGGGGUGAAAUCCUGGAGCUCAACUCCAGAACUGCCUUUGAUACUGGAAAGCUCGAGUCCGGAAGAGGUGAGUGGAACUGCGAGUGUAGAGGUGAAAUUCGUAGAUAUGACUUAGAACACCAAUUGCGCAGGCAGCUUACUAAGCAAUGAUUGACGCUGAGGCACGAAAGCGUGGGGAUCAAACAGG